AUGGAAUUGAACUACAUCGGUCUGAAACAUCCAAUAUUUAAGACCUUGCGCAAAAUCUAAUAGGGCUUAAUAUACAAGCUGAAGAAUCAAGGUCUAAUAAGGUUUUGAAGAAUCAUUUUCUCCCAAUGAUUUUGUGUUAGCUAGAAAAGGCUGUCUUGUAGAAGUCAAUACUAAUGCUCUUUUAUUGUAGUUGCCUCAUUUCAAUGAGGGUGAGAGGAAGAGAA
rnacentral:misc_RNA from 1 species